rnacentral:rRNA from 1 species
UGGGGAAUAUUGGACAAUGGGCGAAAGCCUGAUCCAGCCACGCCGCGUGUGUGAUGAAGGCCUUCGGGUUGUAAAGCACUGUCGAGGGGGAAGAAGUUCUGACGGUACCCCUCAAGAAAGCACCGGCUAACUCCGUGCCAGCAGCCGCGGUAAUACGGAGGGUGCAAGCGUUGCUCGGAAUCACUGGGCGUAAAGCGCACGCAGGCGGCUUUUCAAGUCGGAUGUGAAAGCCCCGGGCUCAACCCGGGAACUGCAUUCGAAACUGGGAGGCUUGAGUUCGAGAGAGGGUGGUGGAAUUCCUGGUGUAGAGGUGAAAUUCGUUGAUAUCAGGAGGAACAUCGGCGGCGAAGGCGGCCACCUGGCUCGAUACUGACGCUCAUGUGCGAAAGCGUGGGGAGCAAACAGG